UGUACACACCGCCCGUCACACCACGAGAGUUUGUAACACCCGAAGUCGGUGAGGUAACCUUAUGGAGCCAGCCGCCUAAGGUGGGAUAGAUGAUUGGGGUGAAGUCGUAACAAGGUAGCCGUAUCGGAAGGUGCGGCUGGAUCACCUCCUUU
rnacentral:rRNA from 2 species